UACGGAGGGGGCUAGCGUUGUUCGGAAUUACUGGGCGUAAAGGGCUGGUAGGCGGCCAACUAAGUCGGAUGUGAAAUCCCCAGGCUUAACCUGGGAACUGCAUCCGAUACUGGUCGGCUUGAAUCCGGGAGAGGGAUGCAGAAUUCCAGGUGUAGCGGUGAAAUGCGUAGAUAUCUGGAGGAAUACCGGUGGCGAAGGCGGCAUCCUGGACCGGCAUUGACGCUGAACAGCGAAAGCUAGGGGAGCAAACGGG
rnacentral:rRNA from 1 species